rnacentral:tRNA from 1 species
GCCGGGAUAGUCUAGUGGUUAUGACGUCUGCCUUACACGCAGAAGGUCGCGAGUUCAGUCGUCGCGAGUUCAGUCCUCGCUCCUGGUA